rnacentral:rRNA from 1 species
AGGGAAUCUUCCACAAUGGACGCAAGUCUGAUGGAGCAACGCCGCGUGAGUGAAGAAGGUUUUCGGACCGUAAAGCUCUGUUGUUGGUGAAGAAGGAUAGAGGUAGUAACUGGCCUUUAUUUGACGGUAAUCAACCAGAAAGUCACGGCUAACUACGUGCCAGCAGCCGCGGUAAUACGUAGGUGGCAAGCGUUGUCCGGAUUUAUUGGGCGUAAAGCGAGCGCAGGCGGAAGAAUAAGUCUGAUGUGAAAGCCCUCGGCUUAACCGAGGAAUUGCAUCGGAAACUGUUUUCUUGAGUGCAGAAGAGGAGAGUAGAACUCCAUGUGUAGCGGUGGAAUGCGUAGAUAUAUGGAAGAAUACCAGUGGCGAAGGCGGCUCUCUGGUCUGCAACUGACGCUGAGGCUCGAAAGCAUGGGUAGCGAACAGGAUUAGAUGCCCUGGUAGUCCAUGCCGUAAACGAUGAGUGCUAAGUGUUGGGAGGCUUCCGCCUCUCAGUGCUGCAGCUAACGCAUUAAGCACUCCGCCUGGGGGAGUACGACCGCAAGGUUGAAAC